CCUACGGGAGACAGCAGUGAGGAAUAUUGGUCAAUGGGCGCGAGCCUGAACCAGCCACGUCGCGUGAAGGAUGACUGUCCUACGGGUUGUAAACUUCUUUUAUAAAGGAAUAAAGUGAGUCACGUGUGCCUCUUUGUAUGUACUUUAUGAGUAAGGAUCAGCUAACUCCGUGCCAGCAGCCGCGGUACUACGGAGGAUCCGAGCGUUGUCCGGAUUUAUUGGGUUUAAAGGGAGCGUAGAUGGGUUGUUAAGUCAGGUGUGAAAGUGUGCGGCUCAACCGUGAAAUUGCAAUUGAUACUGGCAAUCUGGAGUGCAGGUGAGGUAGGCGGAAUUCGUGGUGUAGCGGUGAAAUGCUUAGAUAUCACGAAGAACUUCGAUUGCGAAGGCAGCUUACU
rnacentral:rRNA from 1 species